rnacentral:tRNA from 1 species
GCCGCUGUAGUGUAGUUUGGUCUAGCAUGGCUGGCUUCCACCCAGUAGACUCGGGUUCAAAUCCCGAUAGCGGCU